AUGUAAUUUUGAAAUAUAUGUAUUCUGGUACAUAUAAAAAGGGGGACGUAGACAUAAUUUGACUUCACUCAAUAUCUCUACGAUAAUGUACGUCAGCUGUCGAUGUCUACUUCUAUUUAGUCCAUCCUCCUUAUCUAUUCCGUGUUUCGGGACAUAAGGAAUCCAUAUUUCUGCUAAUACAGGGAAAAACAUUGGCCUUUUGAGUUAGGCUAUAAUCUAACAAUGCUCCUUUAUUCCAAAGAAUUGGUAUCCUGAGUCACUCUCUUCAGGUUCUGUCACAACAGUCUAUAUUCUUGAUUCUACAAUUUGACAAGGUCUUCAUUCUAUUUAAGAUAUACAAACCCAUUGAGGGUCUUCCACCUCUUAGUGAAGCAAUGAAGGUAAGUCGCAGUUUCUUAAGUGGAUCAUCACUUUUCCAUAGUGGUCCACAGCGAGGAACGAAGAAUACUGUCUGAUUUCACUCUAACUCAUUAGGGAAAUGACAUGGAAUGCUUAUUCUGUGUUAACUCUUUAGCCUUGUCAUCAUCAAUACUAAUUCAAUCCAAGAUUACAGUCAAUCUAUAUAUAUCGUAAUAACUUAUUUGUUAGGAUGGCUAUCAAUUAUCAUAAGCAUUCAUCAUCAAAUAAAAGGAGUCUAGAUGGAGACUCCUUGGCAAAUGUGUGGAAUUGAAUCCAACAAAAGAUCGUGUUACUUCGUCACUCCCGGCAUUAAAGAACAAGUGAUUGUGAUAAAGUGCAAAAUAAUUACAUAUACUAGGGAUCAUGAUUAAUUAAUUUUCAACAUUCCUUCAUUUCACUCUUUUUAAAUGUUCCAGAUCAAUGAAUAGACUUCGAUCCCUGGUAACUACUACGGAAUUCUAGAACGAAACAAUUAUUCACCAUAUCGAUGGAUUUCAAUCCAAGACACUUAUCAACAGACCUUAGACCAAUGAGAGUAUUCAAUAAAAAUAUUACAUUUUUACUAUGUAACUAGAUGUUUAUAAAUAUAUAAUUGUAAUAAGUCUAAAUCGCAGUAAAUUAACCAAUUAUCAAAUAUAUUAUAAGGCUAAACAAUUAAGACAAAAUAAAAAUAUAAACAUAAA
rnacentral:lncRNA from 1 species